CGAAGGGUGCAAGCGUUGCUCGGAAUUAUUGGGCGUAAAGGGUUGGUAGGUGGUUACGUAUGUCUGGGGUGAAAUCCCUGAGCUUAACUCAGGAAGUGCCUUGGAAACGGCGUAACUAGAGUGCUAGAGAGGUUCGUGGAAUUCCCAGUGUAGCGGUGAAAUGCGUAGAGAUUGGGAGGAACACCAGAGGCGAAGGCGGCGAACUGGAUAGCAACUGACACUGAACAACGAAAGCGUGGGUAGCAAACAGGAUUAGAUACCCUGGUAGUCCACGCUGUAAACGAUGGGUACUAGGCUUCGUGGGAAUUGACCCCUGCGGAGCCGGAGCUAACGCAAUAAGUACCCCGCCUGGGAAGUACGGUCGCAAGACUA
rnacentral:rRNA from 1 species